rnacentral:lncRNA from 1 species
GUGGUUUGCCCACUCCACCUUUUAUUCUCCUUGGGUGGUUCAUAGGAAGAGGCCAAGAGAGAGAGAAGGAUGCUGGUUUUAUGGGAAAAGGCUACCAGAAUUUCCAUCCGAGGUUGGUGGUCCAUUCCUCUACCUAUGUGGAAAGCAGGUUCUCCUUGACAAUAGCCAGGUCUGCAUGUGUCUUCCACUCAAUCUGCAACGUGCCCACGGGGAGUGACCUCAGCCCCUUGGCUGGAGUUAGCUCUGCCCCCUCCACCCCUGUGCCUUUUCUGGCCCACUUGAAAUUUGAUGUAUCUUUUGAUGGAGCAGAGAGAGGUCCGAGGAUGAACUGCCUUCAUCUUCUCGCUGUGUGAUCUUGGAAGGGUCCUUUCCUAUCCCUUCUCUGCCACUCUUCUAGGACCGAAGGGGUUCGAGGGUGACCUUUCUGGCCACUUGCAAUUGCUAAGAGUGUAUUGAUUUGAGAAUUAAAGGAACGUGGCUCUUGAAAUGCGUGUGCGGUAGAGGCCAUCCAAAAUAGCUAAUGAAGAAACAUCCUGGGGAUUACGCCAAGUUCACAACGCAUUUUAAUGAGCCGUGAGUGUGUGUGAGUGCGUGUGUCUACCACAUGCACAUUGAUGGCUGUGGCGGGGAGGACGCUGUUUCUGAGAGUAGAGUCCUCACUUUUGAGAAACUUACAGAAGGUGGAACAGAUCACGCCGUAUUUCAUAGCAGCCUAAUUCUGACAUGCAUCUGCAAGCCUCAUAAGUCGUGGUUUGGUCGGUGCUGCCCAUCAAAUCAACUUCCUGAACUUGUUUUCAUCUGAACUCCAAGGCAGCCCAGGCGCGGGGGGAGCGCAAUCGCUCGUGUCUGACUGGCUGCCUCUGAAGCCGUCCGUUACCAGUAGUCUGUUUAGAAGGUGGAUUGUUAAUUGUUUGAUUUUUCUGCCAACAGGAUUCCCUG